UGGAUAAUAGAGUGGAGGAUCCUCAGUGG
rnacentral:piRNA from 1 species